rnacentral:rRNA from 1 species
UACGUAGGUGGCAAGCGUUAUCCGGAAUUAUUGGGCGUAAAGCGCGCGUAGGCGGUUUUUUAAGUCUGAUGUGAAAGCCCACGGCUCAACCGUGGAGGGUCAUUGGAGACUGGAAAACUUGAGUGCAGAAGAGGAAAGUGGAAUUCCAUGUGUAGCGGUGAAAUGCGCAGAGAUAUGGAGGAACACCAGUGGCGAAGGCGACUUUCUGGUCUGUNAACUGACGCUGAUGUGCGAAAGCGUGGGGAUCAAACAGGAUUAGAUAC